GAUGAACGCUGGCGGCGUGCCUAAUACAUGCAAGUCGAGCGAACAGACGAGGAUCUUUCUCCUCUUACGUUACCGGCGGGCGGGUGAUUAACACGUGUAUACCCGACCUAUAAGACUGACAUAACUUCGGGAAACCUGAUCUAAUACCGGAUAACAUGUUGAACCUCAUGGUUCAACAGUGAUAAACCUUCUUGCUGUCCCUUAUACAUGGAUCCUCGCCGCAUUAGCUAGUUGGUAAGGUAAAGGCUUACCAAGGCAACGAUGCGUAACCGACCUGAGAGGAUGAUCGGCCACACUGGAACUGAGACACGGUCCAGACUCCUACGGGAGGCAGCAGUAGGGAAUAUUGCGCAAUGGGCGAAAGCCUGACGGAGCAACGCCGCGUGAGUGAAGAAGGUCUUCGGAUUGUAAAACACUGUUAUUAGGGAAGAAGAAAUGUGAAAGAAAACAUGCACGUUUUGACGGUACCAAAAGAGAAAGCAACGGCUAACUACGUG
rnacentral:rRNA from 1 species